rnacentral:rRNA from 1 species
UACGAAGGGGGCUAGCGUUGUUCGGCUUUACUGGGCGUAAAGCGCACGUAGGCGGAUUGUUAAGUUAGAGGUGAAAUCCCGGGGCUCAACCUCGGAACUGCCUCCAAAACUGCUGGUCUUGAGUUCGAGAGAGGUGAGUGGAAUUCCGAGUGUAGAGGUGAAAGGCGUAGAUAUUCGGAGGAACACCAGUGGCGAAGGCGGCUCACUGGCUCGAUACUGACGCUGAGGUGCGAAAGCGUGGGGAGCAAACAGG